rnacentral:rRNA from 1 species
CUCGGGGCGAAGUAGCUGAUUUCACACUGUCAAGAAAAGCUUCUAUCGAGUUUAAAGGCGCCCGUACCGUAAACCGACACAGGUGGGUGAGGAGAGUAUCCUAAGGCCAGCGAGAGAACUAUUGUUAAGGAACUCGGCAAAAUGACCCCGUAACUUAGGGAGAAGGGGUGCCUGUCUAUGACAGGCCGCAGAGAAUAGGCCCAAGCGACUGUUUACCAAAAACACAGGUUUCUGCUAAGUCGCAAGACGAUGUAUAGGAGCUGACGCCUGCCCGGUGCUGGAAGGUUAAGGGGAUCUGUUAGAGCAAUCGAAGCAGUGAACUUAAGCCCCAGUAAACGGCGGCCGUAACAAUAACGGUCCUAAGGUAGCGAAAUUCCUUGUCGGGUAAGUUCCGACCCGCACGAAAGGCGUAACGAUUUGGGCACUGUCUCAACAAUAGACUCGGUGAAAUUGUAAUCCCGGUGAAGAUGCCGGGUACCUGCGACAGGACGGAAAGACCCCAUGGAGCUUUACUGUAGCUUGACGUUGGGUCUUGGUACUACAUGUACAGGAUAGGUGGGAGACUAUGAAGCAUGGACGCCAGUCUGUGUGGAGUCAUCCUUGGGAUACCACCCUUGUAGUACUGGGAUCCUAACCAUAGGCCUUGAAUCAGGUCUUGGAACACCGUCAGGUGGGCAGUUUGACUGGGGCGGUCGCCUCCUAAAAAGUAACGGAGGCGCUCAAAGGUUUCCUCAGCACGGUCGGAAAUCGUGCGAAGAGUGUAAAGGCAAAAGGAAGCUUGAUUGCAAGACAUACAGGUCGAGCAAGGACGAAAGUCGGACUUAGUGAUCCGGUGGUACCGCAUGGAAGGGCCAUCGCUCAACGGAUAAAAGCUACCCUGGGGAUAACAGGCUUAUCUCCCCCAAGAGUCCACAUCGACGGGGAGGUUUGGCACCUCGAUGUCGGCUCAUCACAUCCUGGGGCUGUAGUAGGUCCCAAGGGUUGGGCUGUUCGCCCAUUAAAGUGGUACGCGAGCUGGGUUCAGAACGUCGUGAGACAGUUCGGUCCCUAUCCGUCGCAGGCGUAGGAAAUUUGAGAAGACCUGUCCUUAGUACGAGAGGACCGGGAUGGACGUACCUCUGGUGUACCAGUUGUUCUGCCAAGGGCAUGGCUGGGUAGCUAUGUACGGAAUGGAUAAGCGCUGAAAGCAUCUAAGCGCGAAGCCAACUUCAAGAUAAGAUUUCCCACCGUAAGGGUAAGACCCCAGGAAGACUACCUGGUUGAUAGGUCGAAGGUGUAAGUGCAGUAAUGUAUUUAGCUUAUCGAUACUAAUAGGUCGAGGACUUGAUC